AGGAAGAGGAGGAGGAGGAGGAGGAGGAGAAAGUGGCUCUCAGCGGCCGGUCGGAUUAAAAGUAACCAGACUCGUCCAGAAAACUGCGUCCAGGAAGGAAGUGACAGAAGACGAAUGGGAAAAGGAGAACAGCUCACAGCGUUUGAAACAUCGCGGCACCACUUUCAGAUAAAAACAUAGACCUGAAUGGCAUCAUCCAGUAUCCAAGGAAACCAUGCUUGCUUGAAGAGUGAGCAAGUGAGCAAAGAGACAAGAUUACGUGUUUAAACCGAGAAAAGUAUCUUGAAAAAGCAUUGAAAAGAACAACUUUCAAGUCAAAAGAAUCAAGGUGAAGAGAAUGGAUACACGUGCCCAUGUGAAUUUGCUGCCUCAAGUCUACUGGAGGAUCAAACUGCAGGUUUCCAUAGCUAUAGCCUGAAGAAUCUCUGUAAUGAACUAAAACAAUUAGUAAAAGAUCAGUUGCAGUGGAAGACAUUAUACUCUAGAUUUUUCUAGGAUUAUUAAAUUUGAAAAUAAUUUAUUCCAAAUUUUAACUUAGCUUUUAAUUUUACUAGUGUCAAAAUGUUGUUCUACUUUGGACAACUGAUUUUUCCAUUAGAGAGUCAAUACCAUCUUUGCAGGGUGGUUUAAAAACCAAUAAUUUAAUCCACAUUCUACUAAAACUUUUAAUGUAAGCAUUUUACCCAGAUGUGUUUUUUUCUUGUUUUAGAAAAUCUGAUUUUAAUUGCUAAAACUCAUUUUUAAAUAUUAAUUCAAUGAAAGAAAUGCUUUGGUUUUCUACUUUUUUUAUUUCUUAAACUCAAGGGAAAACAUGGAUGAAAAACAAAACAUUGUUCUGCAUAGUCUUCUUUAAUGUCUCACUUUGGGGAUGUAUGAAAUAAAAACCAAAUUGUUUGAACCAGCUAAAA